UAAAGGAAAAAAAAACAAGAGUCGUCCUACAAUCUCAGGUACAUAAGUGAAAUUAAACUACAAAAACUAGGUGAAUGUGCCCCUAUGAGAGCCGGGCGACGUCUUUACGUAAAAUUGUGGUAAGGCGAUUUGAUCUGUAUUAUGGCCAAUAUUUUCGUUGAGAAUGGCAAUUGGCGACAAUUUCUCACUGAAACUUUUUAGGUGAUGCAUCGCAUAUUCGCAGAGUGGUUGGAUAUUUGCAGCAUCAUAUAUGGAAGCGUUGGAGUAUCUUUUCGUUGGAUUCUGGUAGUUUUUGUUGACGCAUUUUCUCAGGACUUUGCGUUCAAAGAUUUCCAUCUUCAUAGCAACUACUGGUGAGAUGGAGAACCAAGUUGGGAAUCCAUAAAGCAGCACAGACCUGAUGGCCACUUUAUAUAAAAGCAGUUUUGUAUUUUGUGGAUAUGCGCAAAUACUUUGCCGACAUUUGAAAGCAAGGAGAUAGGCCGAUAUUCCGCCACCGUUUUGCUGCUUGGCUUCUUCUUUAUGGGGAUUAUAUUGGCCAUUUUCCACCUCAAUGGAAAGUAACCCAAGUUUAUGCAGUUAUUAAAAAUGCAUUCGAGGAACUGCAGAGACGAUAAAGAUUACUCCUUUAAUCUUAUCGACACUAGCAAAAUGGAGAGUAUCAGGAUUUUGGACUGCCGGGAAGCUGUCGCUGAAUGUAUAUAUUUGGCGAGGUGUUGGAGAAAGGAAGUCAGCCACCCUUGAGUCAAAAUCUAUGACUGGAGUUUCUGGAGUUGUCUGGCUAAAAGUUGCCUCAUACGACACUAGGCAUUUUUCAGCAAUCUCCGGUCGGUUGUAAAUGAAAGUGUCAUCGUGCGAAAUACUAUGACAAAAGGAAGACUUCGACCUUCCAACUAUGUUGUAGAUUUCAUUAAAAGCCGUGGGUCCUGGCUUGAUGUUUUUUACUUUUUUAUUGAAAUGGUGUGUAUGUUCAAUAUUUACCAGUUCUUUUAUUAUUGUUUUCAGAAGCUGUAUUUGUUUCGAAAGAAUAAUAUACUCCUGACUUUGUCUAUGGCCGGUUCUGUGAAAGAUCUUUUUGAGAUCUUUCUGCCAAUUGUGCUUUAUUUUAAAGAACUUUUUAACUUUCUCUGAAAGUGGAAAAUUAUCUUGUCUUAGAGGAAUUCUUCGCGAAUGGGCAUCAUGAACAGAAAUGACAACGUUGUUGAAUUCUGCAAUGAAGUCAUCAAUUUCAUUAGUCUCCAGAUUUCUGUUUACAGGUGGCAUAACAUUUAAUGUUGAGACGUCUAUAUCAUUGCGAAAAUUGUGCCAGUUGUUGUCUUUAUAAGAAGUGUACAUUCGCGGCGAUUUCGUAAGUAUUUCCGAUGAGAUUAGACUCAAUUCCAUCUUGAGUGGGAAAUGAUCCGAAAAAGUGGAGAGAGUUGAGACCUUGUAAUUCAAGUCUAAUGGAUUGAUGAGAUUCGGGCUGACAAGGAAAUGGUCCAGAAAUGAUGGGCCAUUCGGAUAUGAGGGUGAGGAGUCACAGAGGCGAACCACAUCCAAUGCAUGGUCUAACAGCCAGGCAUGAAGGACUUUGCCAUUAGAGUUCUCAGUACUAUCACCCCAAGAUAAACUUUUAGAAUUUAAGUCCCCUCCUAAAAUGAAUCCAUCAUAUCUAGAAAGCAAAUCCAACAGUUUAUCAAGAUCUGCCUGUAGUCUCUGCGCAGCAUAGUUACAUGGAAUGUAAAUAGAGCCAAUUAUGAUUUUCUUCUGUGUGUUGUUAGAAAGCGAGUCGAUUUGUAUAAAGGCAGAGUGCAUUCCAAGAUCUGAAAUCACAAUCCUAUUAUACACUAUAUUGUUCUUAACUAGAAUGGCUACACCCAAUGGCGAGCCAUCAUAAAUAAAGUUGUAUUCAUUAAUUUUCACAUUCCUGAUUCUGCGCAAAUGGCAUUCUUGGACUAGACCAAUAUCAAUUUUGUUGUUCAUAAGAAUGUUACGAAGUUCAAUUUGACGGCUUCGGUCUACAAGUGACCUUACAUUGAAAGUGAGCAGAUUUAAUGAUCUAUGGAUCAUUAGAUUUAGCUUUUCUGAGGAGACGCAAAAACUCAGUUUUUGCCUCAGCCUUUGGCAUAGUUUGAUAAUCCAUUAGGAAUAUACUGACUUCCUGUUCGAUUGAUAAUUCCUCAGGUUCCAAGAAGAAAUUGGCAAGACUAAGGAAUUGAUCAAUGAUAGUUGUUGUUUGAAAAAGACUUGCGAAGGGUUUUUCAUGACAAAUAGAUGGAAUAUUUAUUGCUAUACUCACGUUCUUUUUUGCAAUGGAGUUCGUUUGUAUCGCCUUAUUAAUCCUCUCUCGACGAGCAGCCAUAUACUUCUUAUAGAUGGGGCAUCCUUUCCAGUUUGCUGGAUGACCCGGUUGUUUGCAAUUUGCACAGAAAGGUUCUGAGGUAUCUGUCCUUACUCGGGCACAUUCCCCAGGUUCAUGUUGCUUGUCACACUUGACGCAAGUAUACAUCGCAUUGCAAUUACGCGAUAUAUGGCCCCAUUUUUGGCAACGAUGACAUUGUAGCUCUCCCUUUCUUUUCGGUUUUUCCCAUGUAACAAUUUGGUUAAGAAUUCCACGUAUGUUAGAUACGUCGCCAAUUUUCUUACCAGGUUUUAAGGAAAUUAAAAACAAGCCAGUGUCUACAUUGUUUUUUAUUGAAUUUUGAAACAGUAGCAACAGUUUCAGGAACUACAGCCUCCAGUUCGGCAAGGAUUUGGUCAGUCUCAGUUUCGGAAUGUAGACCACGUAUGACUAUUGACUCUUGUCUCAGUUCCUUCGGAUAUAGGAGUGAGACUGGAUGUUUUUAGCACGAAGAAUAGCCAUCAUGGACGUAUGUGUAGCUACGUCAGUGAAGUAUAGUUUGCUUUUAUUUCUGUUAACGUUUUUUACCUUAAAAGAGCUAUCAGGGAUCUUGGAGCGCAGACCAUCCACUAACUCUUUUACGUUGACGUCAUAUAGGAAAAUAGGAGGGCACCAAGUUUUCCUUUUAGGUUCAGCUGCAAUCUUCGAAACAGUCGUUUGCUUGGUUUGGCUUGUGCUUGCCUGGUUGACGGAUUUUAUUUCUAGGUCGCCCCCAAAAGAACGCACAACACUUUCACAUGUGAGCAAGAUCACUAACACUAACCAACACUUAGUUACAAUUAGAAGUUUGGCGAUCGCGUUUAUUUUACGUAAGAAAACGACUUGUUGCGCAGCGGCAGUGAUUGCGCUCUUUUUGGGCGUCGUGAAAUGAAAUUUUCCUCAGAUAAAGAAAACAAGUUAUACCGAAAUGAACACUUUUCAUCAAUAUUUUCCGCUCAUAUUUUUUAUAUGGAGUUUCACCGCGAAAACCGAAUAUAGUACCAAAAGAAAAAAAAUUUCAAACUAGUAAUCAAAAAGUCGACUUUCGGUCGAAUUUUUGUGUUAAAAAGUCGAAAGAGAUUUUCAAUGACUAAAAACUCGAUUAUUCGUUGAAUAGUCGAAAAGAAAGCUGCACUGAGAUAGUAGUUUGCUACGCUUAUGUUGCUGCCAUGGUACAAUUAAGAGGUAGUGUCAUUAGCACAACAACAAAAAUCCACCACCAACGAAACUUCCUUG